UCCAUUCUGGAAGAGACAGGCGGGACAAACAGGGAGACGGGAGUGAGAGGCCAGGGAGCCUGCUGGCUGCUGCUGCCAUGCUGCAGCCUCGACAUUAUGAGCAGGGUAUUCCCAAACAGCUGGAAGGAGCUGAUAUAUGGUGCUGCGCCCUCGUGCUGGGCCCUCCCCAAAAUGGACCGGUGCUAAGUGGUAACCUGGUUAUUUUCAGCGCGUCACUGGCUCGACUCCAGUUAUAGGUUUCCGUCGGGGGGUCGCAGCCGCGUGGCCCCCGUAUUUCCAAUUAUUCUAAAAAAGACGGACUUAAAAAAAAAAAAAACGGCCAAGAGCACUACACAGAGUAAUGUCCGAGCAUGUGUGUUUGCCUGUCACACACAUUCCUGCGGUGUGUUGGCUCGCCCGUCCAACAUGCGCCACACACACACACACACACCGUGGCCGCACUCAGCUGCGUCUCCGGCGGCUCCGGGGCGGCGAGUCUGCGGCUCUCUCAAGGUGUUCCCCUCUUUUAUCGAUGCUGUUCAGCGGGCUAUAUACAUCCCAGGUUCAUCACACCUCUCAUGUUACCUCCCUGACCAGCAACAUGUUAGUGUGCCGCGACCCCUGGUGGCAGUGACGCGCCACGACGCUCUGCUACGUGCGUGUGUGUCAAACACAACCUUUAUUGUUUUGUUUGCGCGAUCACGUGAAGUUGCACAUCGGGGGUUAAUUACAGCGAGACAAAUGGAUUCUUCUCAGCUUAUUUUAUAAGUGGCUUCGUUACAUAUUUUAUAUUGAGUCAGAAAGGUUUCUAUUUAUUUGUUUCUAUAUUGUUUUGUUAAGUUAUGUGCUCCAUAACUUGACUUUUUUUUUUCUACUCCAUAUUCUCAUCGUAUUCUUUACAUUAUUUUCUGUCCAUUUAUCUAACAUUGCAGUAUAUUAUGUUCUAUUUUAUUCUUUUAUUUCUGCUAUUAAGCAUUUUAUUCUACUAUAUUGUGAUCUAUUCUGCUAUUUAUUUAUUUUUUGCCGUUUUUCUAUUUUCUAUUUUAUUGUGAUAUGUUGUAUAUCUACUGUGAUAUUACCAUUAUUUUAUUUUAGGUUAUUUUGCAUCCUUUUUCUUUUUCUUUUCCUUUUCUAUUCUCGAGGUCAUGCUCUACUUUUACUGCCUGUGCUGACGUUCUCAUAUGGCAUCAGUCAGCUGCUUCAUGUGGACAAGAAACCCACAAUAACGCCGGAAAUUAGGAAAUUUCUUAUCAAAAUAAAACGACCGAACUGACACUUUGUCCUGAAGGUCUCAUUAUUUAUUUGUACACCAAUUGUAACCAUUUAAGUGGUGUCGUAUUCCUCCUUCAAUGCACCCUCUUUUUCUCUUGGACACUUUCUGCGACUAAAAUAUGAAGUAGGCGAUAUUAAUAGAGAAUCAUUUUAUAUUUUAAGGGGUUUGUCCGGAAGCUGUGUGUCGGAUUCAGGCUGACUUGACAUCAAGUAGCAAUGUCCGACUUUGUACCUGACAGGAACAGCCCGGUUUCUCCUAAACAAGACAUCUCAUUACUCCAGCAACAGCAGGACGGAUGUUCAGCAUCAUCUGCAUCAUCACAUUAACGUCUGACAGCCGUCGUGCAGUGGGGCCAAUAAGCAGCGGACGCGGCUGGCGCCCGGCUGCAGGCAGCCCUCUCAAUGGUCUCUCCCACUAUGAAAGCGUUGGUGGAUGCUGUAUGGGCAGUGUGGAGCAUCGGAGCCUCCAUUUAUGACUACAUCCACACCAACGCCAUGGAGGAGCGCAUCCACGCCCUGGAGAACGUCAUCACCAUCCACCAGUGUGUGAUUGGGCUGCUGUCUGCAGGCGUAGUGGUACUCUUCUCCUACAUCCUCUUCAAGAAGCUGUAAAGAUGUGUGAAGGGGUGGGGAAAGCAAACACUCACCAGAUAGACAGAGGGGAUUUAUUUUUUUUUUUACAUGUUGGGUACAUUAGUCACCUGGAGGGUAUAUCCAACACAUACCAGGGCACACUGUCUUUAUUCAAGGUAAAUGCCAGGUUGGUGGUCGAUAAGACAUUAAAUUACUUUUUUAACAUCAGUUUAGUGUCACAUUUUAUCCUAAAUUUUGGGGAAAACCCAUUGAGGUUCAUGUCCUCUAUCAGUAAGAUAGUGGAGGAGGUGAGCAUGUGAAGCAAAAGGGUCCAGCUUUUUGUUAAAGGCGGAUAUAGAUAAUUUUUCUACUGAUAGUGACAGAUUUUAUGUGGCAGUAUUCAGUAUCUUUUAAAUUAAAUUUUGAUUCAAUGCUUAAUUUUUAAUGGCUUAACUGCCAAAUGAUUCAUCUGUAUGUCCCCAACACAUUUGAACUAUUUGAUAGAUAAAAUUCAGCACAGGCACUCCAACAACUAGCCAAUUUGCACAUUUCUGAAUAGCCCUAGUAGCUCAGUUUAUCAUCCAACACUACCAGAAUCCUCUACACACACUGUAGCCGCAGUGCGUGUCAGUACUACUUCAAACUCCAUUCACAUAGAGAAGUCUUCAGCUGACAUUAUGUGUCUGGAAUUGCCUCUUAAACAUAAUUCACAAAUUUUCUAUAGGGAUAAUUAUUGAAAAUAAUAAUUCGCCAAAACAACUUCUGCCUUAUAACACAUUGUUUUCACUCUUUUCAUCUUUUCUUGUUUGCACUAAUUUCCUCAAAGCCUGACUGAGAUACCAGGAGAAAGCGAAUUGCCCUGAAACUAGUGUCUGUGAAAAACAAUAAUUGGAGAGUGCCGAGGUACUUAAUAUCUCUGAGUGUAAUUUCUGUAAAUGCAGUUAACUCAUAUCAUACUACUCAUAUCUGGCCCCAUGGUUCUGAACAUCUGUAAGCAUUGUUCAUAUUGUCUUUGAGUAUCAGAUGAGUGAAAAGACAUUGUAAAAUCCCUUGUGAUACAAUUUUAUAGGUCUACUUGUGUAUCAUCUAUAUUAGAUCUUACAGUGCAACAUCGUGAUCCAUUUAUAUAAUGCUUUUUUUUAUGUUAUACCUCAUAGCUGUCAUAACACUGUAGGUGCCACCACUGUAUUAAACUAUUUGAAGUGUCCUUAAAAAACUGUAAAUAUAUUUAGAUGUUUAUGAAGUUUUUCAGCUGGUCAUUGAAACAUUUCAUAGAUGUACAACUAUCCCAUAGUAAUACUGCUGCUUAAUAUUUAUUGUUUUGUUAUUUAAAGGCAACAUUUUGUACAAUGAAUGGUGGGAACUGAAAUGAGACGCCACUUGAUACCGACUGCAAACAUUGGAUCAAUGUUUGAAAUGAGAAUUUUAGAGGAUAAAGUAUGUGUUUUUGUCAUAGUAAUGUAAAUUAACUUCACUAACCUGCCAAGAGAAUUGUUUAAAUAAUUGGUGGGUCAUUGAAAGCUUUUGCCGUAAGAGUCCUGAGUUUAGAAAAGAGUGUGUGUGUGGUGUGUGUGUGAGUGUGUGUGGUGUGGUUUGUGGUUUGUUUCUGUGUGUGUUUAUCUGUGUACAUUUUGUUAUGUCUCAGAGGGACCACAGCAGAGAAACAGAACCCCAGAAUGAAUAACUGUUUUAAUAUAACAGCAUCAAAGUUUGUAUCAAAUAAAUGUGGAAUUCAAUUCAA